ACGCUGGCGGCGUGCCUAAUACAUGCAAGUCGAACGCACAGCGAAAGGUGCUUGCACCUUUCAAGUGAGUGGCGAACGGGUGAGUAACACGUGGACAACCUGCCUCAAGGCUGGGGAUAACAUUUGGAAACAGAUGCUAAUACCGAAUAAAACUUAGUGUCGCAUGACACAAAGUUAAAAGGCGCUUCGGCGUCACCUAGAGAUGGAUCCGCGGUGCAUUAGUUAGUUGGUGGGGUAAAGGCCUACCAAGACAAUGAUGCAUAGCCGAGUUGAGAGACUGAUCGGCCACAUUGGGACUGAGACACGGCCCAAACUCCUACGGGAGGCUGCAGUAGGGAGUCUUCCACAAUGGGCGAAAGCCUGAUGGAGCAACGCCGCGUGUGUGAUGAAGGCUUUCGGGUCGUAAAGCACUGUUGUAUGGGAAGAACAGCUAGAAUAGGAAAUGAUUUUAGUUUGACGGUACCAUACCAGAAAGGGACGGCUAAAUACGUGCCAGCAGCCGCGGUAAUACGUAUGUCCCGAGCGUUAUCCGGAUUUAUUGGGCGUAAAGCGAGCGCAGACGGUUUAUUAAGUCUGAUGUGAAAGCCCGGAGCUCAACUCCGGAAUGGCAUUGGAAACUGGUUAACUUGAGUGCAGUAGAGGUAAGUGGAACUCCAUGUGUAGCGGUGAAAUGCGUAGAUAUAUGGAAGAACACCAGUGGCGAAGGCGGCUUACUGGACUGCAACUGACGUUGAGGCUCGAAAGUGUGGGUAGCAAAC
rnacentral:rRNA from 1 species